GACGAACGCUGGCGGCGUGCUUAACACAUGCAAGUCGAACGGAAAGGCCCUGCUUUUGUGGGGUGCUCGAGUGGCGAACGGGUGAGUAACACGUGAGUAACCUGCCCUUGACUUUGGGAUAACUUCAGGAAACUGGGGCUAAUACCGGAUAGGAGCUCCUGCUGCAUGGUGGGGGUUGGAAAGUUUCGGCGGUUGGGGAUGGACUCGCGGCUUAUCAGCUUGUUGGUGGGGUAGUGGCUUACCAAGGCUUUGACGGGUAGCCGGCCUGAGAGGGUGACCGGCCACAUUGGGACUGAGAUACGGCCCAGACUCCUACGGGAGGCAGCAGUGGGGAAUAUUGCACAAUGGGCGCAAGCCUGAUGCAGCAACGCCGCGUGCGGGAUGACGGCCUUCGGGUUGUAAACCGCUUUCGCCUGUGACGAGGCGUGAGUGACGGUAAUGGGUAAAGAAGCACCGGCUAACUACGUG
rnacentral:rRNA from 1 species